GAUGAAGAACUUAUCGAAAUGCGAUACGUAAUGUGAAUUGCAGAAUUCAGUGAAUCAUCGAGUCUUUGAACGCACAUUGCGCCCCCUGGUAUUCCGGGGGGCAUGCCUGUCCGAGCGUCAUUGCUGCCCUCAAGCACGGCUUGUGUGUUGGGCCUCCGUCCUCCUCCCGGGGGACGGGCCCGAAAGGCAGCGGCGGCACCGCGUCCGGUCCUCGAGCGUAUGGGGCUUCGUCACCCGCUCUUGUAGGCCCGGCCGGCGCUUGCCGACACAUCAAUCUUUUUUCCAGGUUGACCUCGGAUCAGGUAGGGAUACCCGCUGAACUUAAGCAUAUCAAUAAGCGGAGGA
rnacentral:misc_RNA from 1 species